rnacentral:tRNA from 1 species
GCCCUCGUAGCUCAGCUGGAUAGAGCGCUUGCUUGCGGAGUAAGAGGUCCCGUGUUCGAAUCAUGGCGAGGGCGCCA